CCGAAGGGGCGCUUUGGACGCCAGUGAAGCGAGGAGAGGCGGAGAAGGAACCGAGCGGGCAGUUGAGGGAAAUCUCGGAGGAGGUUACCUGCGAUCAAACUGGGGCUGCGUAGUGUUAGGGUCAGGCAGCUUUGAAGUGGAAUCCGGAUCCGCCACCUUCGCUGCGUGAUAUUGGGCAUGCCAUCAAAGCGCUCUCAACCGAACGUCUCGGCUGCCACUAUGGAUCUAGGAUGAGAGCUUUCCACAUGUUGUUAAGAAUGAGAGACAGAUUACUCCAAGGUAGGUAAGUGAUGUUGCUCAAAGAGGAAUUUUGAAA
rnacentral:lncRNA from 1 species